UACGAAGGGGGCUAGCGUUGCUCGGAAUUACUGGGCGUAAAGCGCACGUAGGCGGCUUUCUAAGUCGGGGGUGAAAUCCUGGAGCUCAACUCCAGAACUGCCUUCGAUACUGGAGAGCUUGAGUCCGGGAGAGGUGAGUGGAAUUCCGAGUGUAGAGGUGAAAUUCGUAGAUAUUCGGAAGAACACCAGUGGCGAAGGCGGCUCGCUGGGACGGUACUGACGCUGAGACGCGAAAGCGUGGGGAGCAAACAGGG
rnacentral:rRNA from 1 species